rnacentral:rRNA from 1 species
UACGAAGGGGGCUAGCGUUGUUCGGAAUUACUGGCGUAAAGCGCGCGCAGGCGGCCAUCCAAGUCAGGGGUGAAAGCCCGGAGCUCAACUCCGGAAAUGCCUUUGAAACUGUUUGGCUUGAGUACGGGAGAGGUGAGUGGAAUUCCCAGUGUAGGAGGUGAAAUUCGGUAGAUAUUGGGAAGAACACCGGUGGCGAAGGCGGCUCACUGGCCCGUUUCUGACGCUCAGGCGCGACAGCGUGGGGAUCGAAA